rnacentral:lncRNA from 1 species
UUCCUUAAUUUGCCUCUACUGGGGACACAUUAAUAUACACAUGUAAAAAAAAUAUUAAUAUACAUGUGAUUAUCGCAGGAAAAGAUACGCCGUUGGAGGAAAAAAAAAACAAAAAAACGGAGGCGAGUUGAAAAACAAAACGGCAUAAAUGGGAUUGACUGUUGACCACGUGGCGUAAAGUCAAUCCCAGCAGUAGAAUUAAAAUUUUAAUUAAAGCCAAAAUAAUCAAAGUCAACUUUAAUUGGAGUGAGCCAACAUGAGGAUGGAUAGAUACACAUAAUACAUAUUACGUACAUGCUGGCUAGAAAGCAGUUCUCAUUCACUUAAUUGAUUUGAUAAACAAAAAUCAAACGCACCCUUAGAAGUUCCAUCGCUGCGUACAAUGAACUCGGCCAAGGUCUGUCGCCGUCGCUCACUAUCAAGUCAUGGUGGUGACUGGUGCAUGCAUGCCUCUGUUUGUUUAAUACAGGCAUAUUUUUACAAUUGAAAUUAUUAAGGAAUCA